rnacentral:rRNA from 1 species
AGAGUUUGAUCAUGGCUCAGAAUCAACGCUGGCGGCGUGCCUAACACAUGCAAGUCGAGCGAGAAAGGGGAGCAAUCCCCGAGUACAGCGGCGCACGGGUGAGUAACACGUGGGUAAUCUGCCUCAGAGUGGGGAAUAACACCGGGAAACCGGUGCUAAUACCGCAUACGAUCACGAUGUCUGCGGACGUUGUGAUGAAAGGCGCAAGUCGCUCUGAGAGGAGCCCGCGGCUGAUUAGCUAGUUGGUGGGGUAAUGGCCCACCAAGGCAACGAUCAGUAUCCGGUCUGAGAGGACGGUCGGACACACUGGAACUGAGACACGGUCCAGACUCCUACGGGAGGCAGCAGUGGGGAAUUUUUGGCAAUGGGGGCAACCCUGACCAAGCAACGCCGCGUGGGUGAUGAAGUCUCUUGGGACGUAAAACCCUUUCGACGGGGAAGAAAACCGCAAGGUUUGACGGUACCCGUAGAAGAAGCCCCGGCUAACUCCGUGCCAGCAGCCGCGGUAAUACGGGGGGGGCGAGCGUUGUUCGGAAUUACUGGGCGUAAAGGGCGCGUAGGCGGUUCGCUAAGUCGGAUGUGAAAACUCUGGGCUCAACCCAGAGCCUGCAUCCGAAACUGGCGGGCUAGAGUUCUGGAGGGGAUAGCGGAAUUCCUGGUGUAGCGGUGAAAUGCGUAGAUAUCAGGAGGAACACCGGUGGCGAAGGCGGCUAUCUGGACAGAAACUGACGCUGAGGCGCGAAAGCUAGGGGAGCAAACAGGAUUAGAUACCCUAGUAGUCC